GAGGAAUAUUGGUCAAUGGACGAGAGUCUGAACCAGCCAAGUCGCGUGAAGGAUGACUGCCCUACGGGUUGUAAACUUCUUUUGUAUGGGAGUAAAAAAGGUUACGUGUAACCUAUUGCAAGUACCAUACGAAUAAGCAUCGGCUAACUCCGUGCCAGCAGCCGCGGUAAUACGGAGGAUGCGAGCGUUAUCCGGAUUUAUUGGGUUUAAAGGGUGCGUAGGCGGGAUAAUAAGUCAGCGGUGAAAGUUUGAGGCUCAACCUUAAAAUUCCCGUUGAAACUGUUUUUCCUGAGUAUAUUUGAAGUAGGCGGAAUUCGUGGUGUAGCGGUGAAAUGCAUAGAUAUCACGAAGAACUCCAAUUGCGAAGGCAGCUUACUAAACUAUAACUGACGCUGAAGCACGAAAGCGUGGGUAUCAAAC
rnacentral:rRNA from 1 species